CAGUCCAUUAAGGGAUAGUAACAACGAAUGUCGAGGAGUCAGCAGAGGUCGAAGUAGCCGUUCUUGAGUAGAACAAGGCAAAGGAC
rfam:Porphyromonas sp. HMSC065F10 Porphyromonas_spHMPREF2890-1.0_Cont611.3, whole genome shotgun sequence.